CAGGUAGCUCAGUCGGUACGAGCGUCCGCCUGAAAAGCGGAAGGUCGGCGGUUCGAUCCCGCCCCUGGCCACCAGAA
rnacentral:tRNA from 1 species